rnacentral:lncRNA from 1 species
UGCAUUUGACAUAAAGCAGGUGGCCAGACACUAUUGGUCAUGGCUCUCUAACAUCAAAACGAUGCGUUUAUGAAGUUUUUUUUUUUUUGAAAAUACUCUAUAAUCAUGACCUUCAUCUUCCUUGAAACUACUUUUAUUGUUGUCGAGUUUUCAAAGUUUUCUUGCUUUUCUAUUGCUUGAAGUUCCCUCUUACUGGUUACAGUUUGAAAUUUUCUACAUUCCAUCGUCGUUUCAACAAGUUAAACAUGGUUAGACUUCCUAUGAGAGGACGAAGAAUUGGUAGGGUUUUGUCGCAAAGGGGUAGAGGUAGUUUCUCCACUACCAACAAUAGGGCAAUGAUGGCAAUUCCCAAGGGAAUUGUGACAACUUUUGAGCAAUAAGGGGCAAGUUCCAUAAGAGCAAAGGGUUGUAGAUGAGAUGGUUGCAAGUGGUUAGUGCACUUGUAUGCUACUACCGAGUGGGAAAUACGAAGGGUGUUAAGGUGUAGGGGGUUCCCCCAAAGGCAUCCAAAGUAUGAUUUUAACGUUUUGGAGGGGACACAUUACCUAAGUUUCAUGUUCGAGCCAAACUAUGGCAAGGGAAGACCAGUAUUCUACCUGUUGUUGUACUUGUUGGAAGCAGGGUUUCACUUGCCACCUCACUAGUUUGUCAUGGACCUGUUGAAUUCUUAUCGUUAGCACCCAGACAGCUGGUUGGAAGUUCUUGGUGGUUGAUAAUUAGAUUCAUCAUCAAAUGCGAGGCAGAGGGGUAUAUGGC